GACGAACGCUGGCGGCGUGCUUAACACAUGCAAGUCGAACGGAGUGGCGAACGGGUGAGUAACACGUGGGUGAUCUGCCUUGCACUUCGGGAUAAGCUUGGGAAACUGGGUCUAAUACCGGAUAGUGCAAGAUGAGCUCGCGGCCUAUCAGCUUGUUGGUGUGGUAAUGGCCUACCAAGGCGUCGAUGGGUAGCCGGCCUGAGAGGGUGUCCGGCCACAGUGGGCCUGGGAUAGCGGCCAGACGUCUACGUGAGGCAGCAGGGGGGAAUUUUGCACAAUGGGCGGAAGCAUGGUGCAGUGACGCCGCGUGGGGGAGGAAGGUCUUCGGGUUGUAAACUCCUUUAGACAGGGACGCGGUACCUGUAUAAGAAGCACCGGCUAACUACGUGCCAGCAGCCGCGGUAAUUC
rnacentral:rRNA from 1 species